UGCAGAGGGUAGUAGGAAAAAAAGCCAGGGAGAAGACCUAGCUGACAGGUAGAUGGGAGUUUCUUCUGUUGGACUGAUAUGUGAGAGAAACCUGAGCUAAGAGGAUACUUAGUCUGUACUGUGAAAUAAGAGCAAGAAAGAACUUCACAGGCAUGAGGCUGAUCCCUGGCAAGAAGCCUUGAGGAAGGAGGGCAUGAGACCUAAUUAGGGAACUUAGGAAGCUGAGGGUGUCAGGGAAGGUUCCUAGAGGCAGGGAAAACCCUGGGUACAGAAAGUGAAAGGGUGAGGGCUACAGGAAAUUGUGAUUCUCACUGCAGUGGAACUGAAAGGGGUUCAAUCUGCAGCAGAGAUGGGGAGGAAACAAGGGGUUCUCACCAGGGUGAGCCUGAGACAGGAUUGGUGAAGUACUAGGAGUUGAGGAAGGAUUUCUUUGAACGGUCUAUACUGAAGGGUGAUGACUGCUGGCCUUAACUCUCAGGAGGAGGGGCUGAAUAGGCUGGAGCUUUAGGUCUUGUUUUAUGUCGCACUGAGACUGGAGUACCCUGAAUGGGGUGUGGAAUUAAAUCAUGAUCUGGCCAAGUUGUAAGAAGACCUAGGCCAUCCGAGGGCUGGAGUGACACUCAGCAGGAGGUGCUACAGAAAGAGAGCUGCUACACCUUGCCGUGAGGGGGACGUGCCUGAGGUGAAAACUCUGUGGAGUGUUAACUGCCCCUAACUACUUGUGUGUACCACACCUGGCACAGGGUGGCCCUGAUCUCAGGUGCGGUUUCUACAUGCUAAUCGAAUGCAG